rnacentral:rRNA from 1 species
GACGAACGCUGGCGGCGUGCUUAACACAUGCAAGUCGAACGGAAAGGCCCUGCUUGCGGGGUACUCGAGUGGCGAACGGGUGUGUAACACGUGGGUGUACCGCCCUCCACUUCGGGAUAAGCCUGGGGAACUGGGGCUAAUACCGGAUAUGAGCCAUCUUUCGUGUGAGGGUUGGAAAGUUUUUUUGGGUUGGGGUGGGCUCGCGGGCUAUCUGCCUGGUGGUGGGGUAAUGGGCUACCAAGGCGGCCAAGGGCAGCCGGCCCGAGGGGGUGGACGGCCACAAUUGGGCCUAGGUACCGGCCCGGCCCCCUCCGGAGGGAAGAAGUGGGAAAAAUGGACCAUGGGCGGGAGCCUGAUUCAAGGACGCCGCGUGGGGGAUUACGGCCUUCGGGUUGUAAAACCCCUUCGCUAGGGACGAAGCUGUGUGUGACGGUACCUAGUUAAGAAGCACCGGCUAACUACGUG